GGUGCGUUAGUGUAGUCGGUCAUCACGCAUGCUUUACAAGCAUGUCGCGGUUUCGAAUACCGCACGCUCCA
rnacentral:tRNA from 1 species